rnacentral:rRNA from 1 species
CUACUAGGGUAUCUAAUCCCGUUCGCUACCCUAGCUUUCGUGCCUCAGCGUCAGUAAAGAUCCAGUGAGCCGCCUUCGCCACCGGUGUUCCAGAUGAUAUCAACGCAUUUCACCGCUCCACCAUCUGUUCCGCUCACCCCUAUCUCCCUCAAGCCAUACAGUUUUGAGCGCAAUUCCACGGUUGAGCCGUGGGAUUUCACACCCAACUUGUACAGCAGCCUACGCACUCUUUAAGCCCAGUAAUUCCGAAUAACGUUCGUCCGGUUCGUCUUACCGCGGCUGCUGGCAC